AUUCUGAAUGCUUUUGUUCUGUCCAUAGGUUAGAGUAAAAAAAAAAAAAAAAUACAUUAUCACAAUUGAUUAUGGUUUAGGUAGUAGCAUAAAUAUACCUAUUUGUCUUCUUUAUUGCUUGGGAUGUAAGUGCAGUAGGCUUAAAUUGUUAUUGUUUAUAGGUUUGAUCUCAUGCCAUGCUAUGCCAGUUGAGAUAUAAGCAAUAUUUUAUAAUUUUGUUAUUACUUGAUCAACUGGCAUAGCAUGGCAUGAGAUCAA
rnacentral:misc_RNA from 1 species